UACCAGCACCCCGAGUGGUCGGGACGUUUAUUGGGCCUAAAGCAUCCGUAGCCGGUUCUACAAGUCUUCCGUUAAAUCCACCUGCUUAACAGUAAUGGGCGUGCGGAAGAUACUAUGGAGCUAGGAGGCGGGAGAGGCAAGCGGUACUCGAUGGUGAGGGUAAAGUACCGUUGAUCCAUUGAAGACCACCAGUGGCGAAGGCGGCUUGCCAGAACGCGCUCGACGGUGAGGGAUGAAAGCUGGGGAGCAACCGG
rnacentral:rRNA from 1 species